rnacentral:rRNA from 1 species
UACGUAGGGUGCAAGCGUUAAUCGGAAUUACUGGGCGUAAAGCGUGCGCAGGCGGUUUUUGUAAGUCUGUCGUGAAAUCCCCCGGGCUCAACCUGGGAAUUGCGAUGGAGACUGCAAGGCUAGAAUCUGGCAGAGGGGGGGUAGAAUUCCACGUGUGAGCAGUGAAAUGCGUAGAGAUGUGGAGGAACACCGAUGGCGAAGGCAGCCCCCUGGGUCAAGAUUGACGCUCAUGCACGAAAGCGUGGGGAGCCAAAGA